AUGGCACUUCCUGAAUGUGCAAAACAUAACAGAAUAUGUAAACAGAAAUGUUGUUUGGACCACAUUACAUUUUAAA